UGAUUUCCCCACUCCUAUUUUAUCCACUUACACUCCAUUUUAUAACUAAAAAAGGAGUGUAAGUGGAUAAAAUGGGAGUGGGGAAAUCA
rnacentral:miRNA from 1 species